UACGUAGGGGGCAAGCGUUGUCCGGAAUCAUUGGGCGUAAAGCGCGUGUAGGCGGCUGUGCAAGUCGGGUGUGAAAGCCCCAGGCUCAACCUGGGAAGUGCAUUCGAUACUGAGCAGCUCGAGUCCCGGAGAGGAUGGUGGAAUUCUCGGUGUAGAGGUGAAAUUCGUAGAUAUCGAGAGGAACACCGGUGGCGAAGGCGGCCAUCUGGACGGUGACUGACGCUGAGACGCGAAAGCGUGGGGAGCAAACAGG
rnacentral:rRNA from 1 species